rnacentral:rRNA from 1 species
AAAUCACCAGCUGUCCAAAUCACUCACCGGCUGCACCCGCGGAGGGCGGAGCGGAUUGGAUGACGCGCGCAGCCGCAGCAGCAGCAUCAUCGCGCACUUCAAGGCGUCGUCGCUGCUGACGCGGCCGCGGAGGGCGCGGGCCCAGCCCCCACCGCUUUAUAACCGCGCCGACGCCGCCCCCAUCCCACCCCCCACACUCCCCUCCGUUCCGGACUCUGAAGCAGCAGCGGCGGACGGCGGCGCGCGCGUCCCCGUCCCCGUCCCCGUCCCCGUCCCCGUCUCCGUCUCCUCCCGGCGGCGAAUCUCACCAGCAAAUAGACAGAAUCAGACCGGUUCUCGCUGGGUGGGCGCGGCGAGGUUUUUGUUCGGCGGGUUGGGCGUGAUGGCGGUCGCGUCGCGCCUGGCGGUGGUGCGGGUGGUCCAGCCGGACGGCGGCGCGGCGGGCGGGAGCAGGAAGGGGCGGCAGGGGUUCGCGGUGGUCGGGCUCCCCGCGGCGGGGCGGAGGGGGAGGCGGCGAGGCGGGGCCGUGGCGGCCAGCCCCCCCACGGAGGAGGCGGCCAAGCUGACGGAGCCGCUCACCAAGGAGGACCUCGUCGCCUACCUCGCGUCCGGCUGCAAGCCCAAGGAGAACUGGAGAAUUGGCACAGAACAUGAAAAGUUUGGUUUUGAUGUCGAAACAUUGCGCCCUAUAACGUACGAUCAGAUCAGUGCUAUACUCAAUGGGCUGUCUGAGAGAUUUGAAUGGGACAAGAUAAUGGAAGAAAACCAUGUUAUUGGUCUCAAGCAGGGAAAGCAAAACAUUUCACUAGAACCUGGUGGCCAGUUUGAACUUAGUGGCGCUCCCCUCGAAACAUUACAUCAAACUUGUGCGGAGGUCAAUUCACAUCUUUAUCAGGUCAAAGCAGUUGGAGAGGAAUUGGGAGUAGGAUUUCUUGGAAUGGGUUUUCAGCCAAAAUGGGCCCUGGCUGAUAUACCAAUAAUGCCCAAGGGAAGAUAUGAAAUUAUGAGGAAUUACAUGCCUAAAGUUGGUACUCUUGGCCUUGAUAUGAUGUUCCGCACGUGCACUGUACAGGUUAAUCUUGAUUUCAGUUCAGAGCAAGAUAUGAUAAGAAAAUUCCGUGCUAGCCUUGCAUUGCAGCCUAUCGCUACAGCAAUAUUCGCAAAUUCUCCCUUCAAAGAAGGGAAACCAAAUGGGUUUCUCAGUUUAAGAAGCCAUAUCUGGACUGAUACUGAUAACAACCGCUCGGGGAUGCUUCCUUUUGUUUUUGAUGACUCAUUCGGAUUUGAGCAAUAUGUGGACUAUGCAUUGGACGUCCCAAUGUAUUUUGUAUACCGGAACAAGACUUACAUUGACUGUACUGGAAUGUCAUUUCGGGAUUUUAUGGCAGGAAAGCUCCCACAGGUUCCAGGGGAGUUGCCCACUUUGAACGAUUGGGAGAACCAUCUAACAACAAUUUUUCCUGAGGUUAGGUUGAAGAGAUACAUGGAGAUGAGAGGUGCUGAUGGUGGACCUUGGAGGAGAUUGUGUGCUUUGCCUGCAUUUUGGGUUGGGUUGUUGUAUGACGACGAAUCACUACAGAGCAUUAUUGACAUGACUGCUGACUGGACAAAGGAAGAAAGAGAGAUGUUGAGACGGAAGGUCCCAGUAACUGGUUUGAAGACACCAUUCCGGGAUGGGUAUGUAAGAGAUUUAGCUGAAGAUGUUCUCCAGUUAGCUAAGAAUGGAUUAGAAAGAAGAGGAUACAAGGAGGUUGGUUUCCUGAGAGAGGUCGACGAAGUUGUUAGAACAGGAGUGACACCUGCCGAGAAGCUUCUGAAUCUAUACGAGACAAAGUGGCAGCGCAGCGUGGACCCUGUGUUCGAGGAGUUGUUAUAUUGAUACUGAUAUCAUAUAUAACUUCGGUGGACGCUGGACAAGGUGGACAGGGUCUUCAGAUUGUAUCCCCAUACAAAAUCCCGUCCUCAAUUCUACAAGCCACCUGACGAGGGAAGACUAAUUUCUGGUCUUGCGGCUGCGAAUAAUUUUGAGCUCGGAACACUGUGUUGUGGCUUGCCGUCUUUCUUUUUUCAGUUGUGGGGAGCUUUUACAGCUUUUGAUUUUUCUCGCAUCUCCAGGGAGCUGGAACAAACCCCUGUUUGUACCGACUCCCUUUUCAUCUUUCCCUGAUGAACGGCUUGUAUUCGGAAUAAAUCCAUCUCGUGUGAUGAUGGAAGGGGCCUGAUUUCCUGGAAAUAAUUCAGUGUUUGGGAGCAUGUUCAGGUUAAAGUUAUACUCCUCAUUACUUCCUCCGUCCAAAAAGUUUGUCUUAGAUUUAUCUAGAUACGGAUAUAUCUAGACAUGUUUUAGUGUUAAAUUAUUUUGUAUCUCUAGAUAAAUAAGACAAGCUUUUUG